GAGUUUGAUCGUGGCUCAGGACGAACGCUGGCGGCGUGCCUAACACAUGCAAGUCGAACGAGUCCACACCUUCGGGUGUGAGGCGAGUGGCGGACGGGUGAGUAACACGUGAGGAAUCUGUCGGAGUACGGGGGAUAACCCGGGGAAACCCGGGCUAAUACCGCAUGGUCGGUCUCCAGGAUCUGGGGACCGGGAAAGGUGGCCUCUUUACAAUGCUACCGCGCUCCGAGGAUCUCGCGGGCUAUCAGCUAGUUGGUGAGGUCACGGCUCACCAAGGCUACGACGGCUACGGGGUCUGAGAGGACGACCCCGCACAUUGGAACUGAGACACGGUCCAGACUCCUACGGGAGGCAGCAGUGGGGAAUUUUGGGCAAUGGCCGAAAGGCUGACCCAGCGACGCCGCGUGCGGGAGGACGCCCCUCGGGGUGUAAACCGCUGUCAGGGGGACGAACGACCUCGUUCGAACAGAGCGAGGUGUGACGGUACCCUCAAAGGAAGCACCGGCUAACUCUGUGCCAGCCGCCGCCGUAAG
rnacentral:rRNA from 1 species